AGAACGAACGCUGGCGGCAUGCCUAACACAUGCAAGUCGAACGCUCACCGGGCUUCGGUUCGGUGGGAGUGGCGCACGGGUGAGUAGCGCGUGGGAACCUGCCCUGUUGUGGGGGAUAACCGAGGGAAACUUCGGCUAAUACCGCAUGCGCCCGGGGAAACCCGGGGAAAGAUUUAUCGCAGCAGGAGGGGCCCGCGUCGGAUUAGGUAGUUGGUAGGGUAACGGCCUACCAAGCCUUUGAUCCGUAGCUGGUCUGAGAGGAUGAUCAGCCACACUGGGACUGAGACACGGCCCAGACUCCUACGGGAGGCAGCAGUGGGGAAUAUUGGACAAUGGGCGCAAGCCUGAUCCAGCAAUGCCGCGUGAGUGAUGAAGGCCUUAGGGUUGUAAAGCUCUUUCGCCCGCGACGAUGAUGACGGUAGCGGGAGAAGAAGCCCCGGCUAACUUCGCGCCAGCAGCCGC
rnacentral:rRNA from 1 species